rnacentral:rRNA from 1 species
CCUACGGGAGGCAGCAGUAGGGAAUAUUGCACAAUGGACGCAAGUCUGAUCCAGCAACGCCGCGUGAGUGAAGAAGGCCCUCGGCUUGUAAAGCUCUGUUGGUAGGGAAGAAACAUAGGGCUAGUCACUGUCAUUUAUUUGACGGUAAUUACUUGGAAAGUCACGGCUAACUACGUGGCAGCCGCCGCGGUAAUAGGUAGGUGGGAUGCGUUGGUCGGAUUUAUUGGGAGGAAAGGGAGUGCAGGCGGUACAGCAAGUCUGAUGUGAAAGCCUUCGGCUCAACCGUUGAAUUGCAUAAGAAACUGUUGAACUGGAGUGCAGAAGAGGAAGGCGGAACUCCGUGUGUAGCGGUGGAAUGCGUAGAUAUAAGGAAGAACACCAGUGGCGAAGGCGGCUUUCUGGACUGUAACUGACGCUGAGGCGCGAAAGCGUGGGGAGCAAACAGGAUUAGAUACCCGAGUAGUC